GACGAACGCUGGCGGCGUGCUUAACACAUGCAAGUCGAACGGAAAGGCCCUGCUUGCAGGGUACUCGAGUGGCGAACGGGUGAGUAACACGUGGGUGAUCUGCCCUGCGCUUCGGGAUAAGCCUGGGAAACUGGGUCUAAUACCGGAUAGGAGCCAUUUUUAGUGUGAUGGUUGUAAAGUUUUUUCGGUGUAGGAUGAGCUCGCGGCCUAUCAGCUUGUUGGUGGGGUAAUGGCCUACCAAGGCGGCGACGGGUAGCCGGCCUGAGAGGGUGGACGGCCACAUUGGGACUGAGAUACGGCCCAGACUCCUACGGGAGGCAGCAGUGGGGAAUAUUGCACAAUGGGCGCAAGCCUGAUGCAGCGACGCCGCGUGGGGGAUGACGGCCUUCGGGUUGUAAACUCCUUUCGCUAGGGACGAAGCUUUUUGUGACGGUACCUAGAUAAGAAGCACCGGCUAACUACGUG
rnacentral:rRNA from 1 species